AACGAACGCUGGCGGCAUGCCUAACACAUGCAAGUCGAACGAAGCCUUCGGGCUUAGUGGCGCACGGGUGCGUAACGCGUGGGAAUCUGCCCUUGGGUUCGGAAUAACAGUUAGAAAUGACUGCUAAUACCGGAUGAUGUCUUCGGACCAAAGAUUUAUCGCCCAAGGAUGAGCCCGCGUAGGAUUAGGUAGUUGGUGGGGUAAUGGCUCACCAAGCCGACGAUCCUUAGCUGGUCUGAGAGGAUGAUCAGCCACACUGGGACUGAGACACGGCCCAGACUCCUACGGGAGGCAGCAGUGGGGAAUAUUGGACAAUGGGCGAAAGCCUGAUCCAGCAAUGCCGCGUGAGUGAUGAAGGCCUUAGGGUUGUAAAGCUCUUUUACCAGGGAUGAUAAUGACAGUACCUGGAGAUAAGCUCCGGCUAACUCCGUG
rnacentral:rRNA from 1 species